AGAUGCUAAUACCGCAUAAAUCCAAGAACCGCAUGGUUCUUGGCUGAAAGAUGGCGUAAGCUAUCGCUUUUGGAUGGACCCGCGGCGUAUUAGCUAGUUGGUGAGGUAACGGCUCACCAAGGCAAUGAUACGUAGCCGAACUGAGAGGUUGAUCGGCCACAUUGGGACUGAGACACGGCCCAAACUCCUACGGGAGGCAGCAGUAGGGAAUCUUCCACAAUGGACGCAAGUCUGAUGGAGCAACGCCGCGUGAGUGAAGAAGGCUUUCGGGUCGUAAAACUCUGUUGUUGGAGAAGAAUGGUCGGCAGAGUAACUGUUGUCGGCGUGACGGUAUCCAACCAGAAAGCCACGGCUAACUACGUGCCAGCAGCCGCGGUAAUACGUAGGUGGCAAGCGUUAUCCGGAUUUAUUGGGCGUAAAGCGAGCGCAGGCGGUUUUUUAAGUCUGAUGUGAAAGCCCUCGGCUUAACCGAGGAAGUGCAUCGGAAACUGGGAAACUUGAGUGCAGAAGAGGACAGUGGAACUCCAUGUGUAGCGGUGAAAUGCGUAGAUAUAUGGAAGAACACCAGUGGCGAAGGCGGCUGUCUGGUCUGUAACUGACGCUGAGGCUCGAAAGCAUGGGUAGCGAACAGGAUUAGAUACCCUGGUAGUCCAUGCCGUAAACGAUGAAUGCUAGGUGUUGGAGGGUUUCCGCCCUUCAGUGCCGCAGCUAACGCAUUAAGCAUUCCGCCUGGGGAGUACGACCGCAAGGUUGAAACUCAAAGGAAUUGACGGGGGCCCGCACAAGCGGUGGAGCAUGUGGUUUAAUUCGAAGCAACGCGAAGAACCUUACCAGGUCUUGACAUCUUUUGAUCACCUGAGAGAUCAGGUUUCCCCUUCGGGGGCAAAAUGACAGGUGGUGCAUGGUUGUCGUCAGCUCGUGUCGUGAGAUGUUGGGUUAAGUCCCGCAACGAGCGCAACCCUUAUGACUAGUUGCCAGCAUUUAGUUGGGCACUCUAGUAAGACUGCCGGUGACAAACCGGAGGAAGGUGGGGAUGACGUCAAAUCAUCAUGCCCCUUAUGACCUGGGCUACACACGUGCUACAAUGGAUGGUACAACGAGUUGCGAGACCGCGAGGUCAAGCUAAUCUCUUAAAGCCAUUCUCAGUUCGGACUGUAGGCUGCAACUCGCCUACACGAAGUCGGAAUCGCUAGUAAUCGCGGAUCAGCACGCCGCGGUGAAUACGUUCCCGGGCCUUGUACACACCGCCCGUCACACCAUGAGAGUUUGUAACACCCGAAGCCGGUGGCGUAACCCUUUUAGGGAGCGAGCCGUCUAAGGUGGGACAAAUGAUUAGGGUGAAGUCGUAACAAGGUAGCCGUAGGAGAACCUGCGGCU
rnacentral:rRNA from 1 species